AGCAUUUGAAAAGUUGUAGUAGUAGGUCGGAGCUCGGAUGCGGGUCCGGUCGGUCGGGUCCACUCCCAUCCCAUCCGGAACACCGGUGAGGUGAGGUGAGCUGAUGAGGAGGAUUCGUGGGCGUGCCUGGCGAUUAUCACAGUGAUCUCUGUCCUUGUCCAGGGGCGUGAAACCGAAGAAAACCCGUUAAGUGUGGAAAAAUUGAUAGGAAAGUUGCGCCGGCGCAAGGGAAAUCCUUUAAAUGUGUGUUUAACCACAAAAGCGACGUGAGUUUAACCAACAUAAUCGGCAGUCGGGGCGCCUGGGAAAGCCAUCCGCUUCCUCGAAAGAGUUGGGAUCCGUCGGCGUGACCUGUGUGACACUUUCAUUUGCCGGGUUAACGCCCCCUCGAAAUCCGUCGAAGUCCGUCCAGUUUUGAAACCGAAAUUUAACGCUUGCUUAGCGCGUGGGAUCGCCAGAUGCCCCGGUCAUCAUCAUCGAUGUAAACCACAUGUGCCGAACGCCCCUCAUAAUGAGCGCGACGGAUCCGAACACCCAAUUCUUGAAUCUGGACCUAACCUACAGCGUAUUUCCAAUUGAAGUGGGAAUUUGCCUGGGAAUCUGGCCUGCUCCGCCUGGACCACUUUAUUUAGUGUACGUUUUUUGCGGUCGCCUGCAACCGCCAGUCGGCCAACCACAACAACACCAAUCGAGGAGCAGUUGAGGUCGCGGCAACAACAACAACAAUCCGGCAUGGCCUCUGCCUCGGCCUGGCCCCCACCCCUCCGCCCACUUUCUGCGCCUGUUGUUGUUGCUGUUGCUGCAGUGAGAGGCGUAGCUAAAAGCAGGGAACCCGUAUUUAGGGGCAUUGGCAAGAGCGAGAGGCAGCGAGCCAGCAACGCCAGGCGAGGGCAACGAGUGCGAUAAGGCAGGCAUUAGCAGCAGCACAUAGCAUACAAAACAACAAUACAAAGCCAUCGGCGCAGGAAGAGAAAGAGAGGAGCCAAAGAGAGGGCUCCCCAAAAAGAGAGUGGAGAGUGGGAGAGCGUGUGGAGCUCGGAAUUGAACAUUUCGAAACAUUUAAAGCUGUACAGUGAAAGAAAAUAAUUAUAUUUUUUACACCUAACAAUUUCUAACUUAUUAUCAAUUAAGAAUUUAAUAAAAAUACAAUUAUGUGAUAGCAAA